GCAGUGGGGAAUUUUGGACAAUGGGCGCAAGCCUGAUCCAGCCAUGCCGCGUGCAGGAUGAAGGCCUUCGGGUUGUAAACUGCUUUUGUACGGAACGAAACGGCCUUUUCUAAUAAAGAGGGCUAAUGACGGUACCGUAAGAAUAAGCACCGGCUAACUACGUGCCAGCAGCCGCGGUAAUACGUAGGGUGCAAGCGUUAAUCGGAAUUACUGGGCGUAAAGCGUGCGCAGGCGGUUAUGUAAGACAGUUGUGAAAUCCCCGGGCUCAACCUGGGAACUGCAUCUGUGACUGCAUAGCUAGAGUACGGUAGAGGGGGAUGGAAUUCCGCGUGUAGCAGUGAAAUGCGUAGAUAUGCGGAGGAACACCGAUGGCGAAGGCAAUCCCCUGGACCUGUACUGACGCUCAUGCACGAAAGCGUGGGGAGCAAACAGGGUUAGAUACCCUGGUAG
rnacentral:rRNA from 14 species